CGGCUAUGUCUUGCCACCCCAGAUGAUUGAGUCAUAUAUAAAUACAUAUAUUUACCAUAUAUAUUUUUUAUAUAUAUAUAUAUAUAUAUAUAUAUAUAUAUAUCAUCUGGGGUGGCAAGACAGAUAAU